UUUUGUAUUUUAAAAGUAGAUGUAUAAGCAAAAUUUUGAUGUUUUGGUUAAAAAUCAACAUUUUGUAAGCUAAAGUUGAUAAGCUAAUGUACGCUCUUAUCCCUAACAGAUGGUAUCGAUACAAAGGUCUACUUUUCUAGUUCCGAUUAUGUGCAUGGUUUCUCAUUCUAUAAAUAUAAACUUUCAAAAUACGUCACUACCUCUUUUUUUUCCCUAUAUCCUCAUAUACACACUCACUAAGCCAUAUUUACGCAUGCGCACUAUCAAAGCUACAUUGGUAACUAUGACAACAAAAUUUACACGCAUGCGCACAUGACGUGAACCGGUCCUUCUUCUGUAAACAUUUGAAAGCCUCGAUUCAUUAUUCAAACUCAGAAAUGCCAACAAAAGGUUAUAUGUUUGGAAAGAAAAAACGUUACUGUAAGCCCAGAGGAAGACAUGCUUCAAAGACAAAUGCAUAAUUACAAAGCUCUGUUUUGGAUACAGCUGGAUCUGAAGCAGCAACAACGCAGCCUGCAAGUGCAGCUGAACGAAAAAUAAUUCUAACUGCAAUUACUAACGCUGAUAACACCAAUAAGAGGCUGCCUGAAGAUUUCAUAUACGUCAUGAUGAAUUCAAUGGAAUUGACCACAAUGGUCUCCUUGUUGUGCUGUCCACAUUGCUUCGACAAAAAAUUAACCAUGUGCAUCACACAAUCAAAAGGCAUGGCUCAUUUGAUUAAAAUCAAAUGCCUAAAUUGUGAAAUAUAUUUGUGGCCUGACUUGACCUCAAAAAAAAGUAAUAAUGUUCAUCUGGAUAUUAAUGUCCGCGCUGUCGCUGCAUUAAAAGAAUCUGGAAUCUCGCAUUCUAAAUUUGAUAGGUUUUGUGGACUUAUGAGUAUGCCCUGCAUGCACAGAAAUACUUAUAACAAUCUAGCUAACAUAGUCAACACUGCUAUAAUUGAAGCUGGUGAAGAAUGUAUGAUUAGGGCAUCUGCUGUUGUGCAUGGAAGAAACAUUUCACAACCUCUGACUACAGAUGAUAGAAUAAGUUCAACAGGCUGUCCUGUUAUUACAGUUUCUUUCGAUGGGACUUGGCAUAAAAGGGGCCACUCAUCUCAAUCAGGAAUUGGCACAGUUAUUGAUUUUGAUACUGGACUCGUCAUCGUCACCGAAGUCCUAUCAAAUUAUUGCUGUGUUUGUGAUUCAAACUCUGCAGAACUAAAUUUUGAUGCCUCUAAGCAUAUGUGUCAAAAAAACUUCAGUGGCUCAGCAAAUGCAAUGGAGGCCGCAGCAGCAUCCAAAAUUUGUUCUCACUCUGUGGCAUCAGAAAACUUGUUUAUGGCAUGAUGCUGUGUGAUGGCGAUAGUAAAUCACAUUCAUCUGCCAUUACCAACUCAGGAUAUGAUGUAGAAAUCUUAAAAGAGGACUGUAUUAACCACAUCUCAAAAAGAAUGUUUAAUGCUUUGAACAAUUUAAAAAUGUCUAACAAAAAAGAACUAAAUUAUAGGCUUACAAAGCCAAAAAUUGAAAAAAUUACAAAUAACUAUUCCAAAGUUCUGCGCCAAAAUGCUCCUGACAUUCAAAAAAAUGAAGCUGGCUGUUAUGGGCUCAUUUUUUCAUAUGAUGAGCUCAGACCUAGAUCAUAACCACAGGUUGUGUCCUGAUGGCACUACAUCUUGGUGUCACACUUUAAGAGAUCAGAGGCACUAAAACAGCCAUACAAAAAACAUAAUCAGACCAUCACAUCAGAAAUAGGAAAACUGUUAUUUCCUAUAACAGACACAGAUCUGUUAAAAACAUGUUCAAGAAUGGGAACACAAAAGGCCAAUGAAUCUUUUCAUUCCCUCAUUUGGCAAAGAUGCCCCAAAACAGAAUUCGCAACAUUAAAAACUAAGGACGGCGACAUACCUUGCUGUUUUAGCCUUCAAUAAUGGCAUUAAAUCAGUUUUUGACAUAUUAGGCGUUCCCUGGACACUAAAGAACAUUUCUUCUAGUGAGAAAAAGCAAAAUGUCAAACUACAGCUUGUUGUUAGAAAAAGAAGAUCAAUCACAUUAGUGUCCAGGAGAAAAAAAUUGAAAAAGCAAAGAAUUGAGCAUGAGCACCGGGCAGAGGUUCUAGAAGGUCCAAUCUAUCAAUCAGGCCAUUUUAAUGAAUAGUUUUUUUUUAUUAUCUAUUAUGUUAUAUUAUGUAAAUAUUCCCUUUUUUUUUCAUUUUUAUGGUUGCAAUAAAUAUUUUAUAUCAUUUUAAAAACUUUAAA